rnacentral:rRNA from 1 species
UACGGGGGGGGCAAGCGUUGUUCGGAAUUACUGGGCGUAAAGGGCUCGUAGGUGGCCAACUAAGUCAGACGUGAAAUCCCUCGGCUUAACCGGGGAACUGCGUCUGAUACUGGAUGGCUUGAGUUUGGGAGAGGGAUGCGGAAUUCCAGGUGUAGCGGUGAAAUGCGUAGAUAUCUGGAGGAACACCGGUGGCGAAGGCGGCAUCCUGGACCAAUACUGACACUGAGGAGCGAAAGCCAGGGGAGCAAAAGGG